rnacentral:rRNA from 1 species
UAGGGAAUCUUCCACAAUGGACGCAAGUCUGAUGGAGCAACGCCGCGUGAGUGAAGAAGGUUUUCGGACCGUAAAGCUCUGUUGUUGGUGAAGAAGGAUAGAGGUAGUAACUGGCCUUUAUUUGACGGUAAUCAACCAGAAAGUCACGGCUAACUACGUGCCAGCAGCCGCGGUAAUACGUAGGUGACAAGCGUUGUCCGGAUUUAUUGGGCGUAAAGCGAGCGCAGGCGGAAGAAUAAGUCUGAUGUGAAAGCCCUCGGCUUAACCGAGGAAUUGCAUCGGAAACUGUUUUCUUGAGUGCAGAAGAGGAGAGUAGAACUCCAUGUGUAGCGGUGGAAUGCGUAGAUAUAUGGAAGAAUACCAGUGGCGAAGGCGGCUCUCUGGUCUGCAACUGACGCUGAGGCUCGAAAGCAUGGGUAGCGAACAGGAUUAGAUACCCUGGUAGUCCACGCCGUAAACGAUGAGUGCUAGGUGUUGGAUCCUUUCCGGGAUUCAGUGCCGCAGCUAACGCAUUAAGCACUCCGCCU